AGCGGAAGUCGCUCCUGGAGGCUCGUGUCUGGGAGCGGGUGGCCGCGGGCGGCCGCUGGCCUGGCGCUGCCUGCGGCGGAGGAAGGCGGGAGGCCGGAGCCAGACUAAGCUUUGAAUAAAGGAAAUUCAUCAUGAAAUGCUACUAGAAGUUUGAAAAUACAGUUGAAGUAUAAACACUGCCUUUAUAAUUAUUAAAAGUGUGUAUACCCAGGGUGUCUCCCAAAAAAUGUAUACACACUUUAACAGCUGAUGACUCACUAUAGAUUCAAUACAAUUCCUAUUAAAAUACCAACAGCAUAUUUCACAGAUCUAGAACAAACGCUCCAAAAAUUUAUAUGGAAACAAUAAAAGACCUUGGAUAGCCACAGCAGUCUUGAGAAAGAAGAAUAAAGUUGGAGGAAUCACAAUACCAGAUACCAAGUUAUACUACAAAGCCACUGUACUCAAAACAGCCUGGUACUGGCACAAGAACAGGCAUAUAAACUAAUGGAACAGAACAGAGAAUCCAGAAAUCGAUCCAAGCCAUUCAACUCAAUAUUUGACAACGGAGGCAAGAGCAUACAAUGGAGUAAGGACAGUCUCUUCAAUAAAUGGUGUUGGGAAAUUGGACAGGUACACUGAUCAUAAGGAAAAUGCUUUUAGCUUUUUCCAGUUGAGUAUCAUGUUAGCUGUGGGCUUGUCACAUAUGCUUUUUAUCAUGUUGAGGUAAGUCCCCGCUAUUUCAGCUUUGCUGAGAGUUUUUAUCAUAAACGGAUGUUGGAUUAAAAAAAUGUUUUUGUUAGUUUUAGAGAGAGGAAGGGAGAGAGAUAGAAACAUCAAUGAUAAGAGAGAAUCAUGGAUCAGCUGCCUACUGGAGAUCAAGUCUGCAACCUGGGCAUGUGUCCUGACCGGGAAUUGACCCUUGACCUUCUGGUUCAUGGGUUGACAACCAACUACUGAGCAAAACCAGCCAGAUUGAUGCUAGAUUUUGUUGAAUGCUUUUUCUGCAUCUAUUGAUAUGAUCACAUGAUUUUUACCCAUCAUUUUUAAAUGUGGUGUAUCAUGUUAUUUGAUUUGUGGAUAUUGAACUAAUCUCAGGAAUAAAUCUCAGGAAUAAAUCCCACUUGACCGUCGUUUGUGAUCUUUUUAACAUACAACUGGAUUCAAUUUACUAAUAUUUGAGGAUUUUUGCAUCUGUUCAUCAGGCUUUUGGUCUAUAGCAGUGGUCGGCAAACCUUGGCUGCGAGCCACAUGCAGCUCUUUGGCCCCUUGAGUGUGGCUCUUCCUCAAAAUACCACGUGUGGGUGCGCACGUAGAGUGCGAUUGAAACUUCGUGGCCCAUGCACAGAGGUCGGUUUUUGGCCUGGGCGAGUCUAUUUUGAAGAAGUGGCGUUAGAAAAAGUGGGGCGUGUAAAGUCGGUUCGGGCGACAGGAGACGCGGCGCAGGCAGGCGGGCCGUGGGAUACGCAGCACGUGGGAGGUGCGUGUGAUUCAUGCACGGGUUGAGUGAGCCAGUCAGUCAGCAGUCUCAUUGUGCAGUGGUUAGUGCUAUUCGGUCCGCAUAUCGCACGCGGUUGACAAAAGAUAAACAAAACAAGUAUACAAGAUGAGUGUGGAUGGGAGAGUUGGAAGGGGUCGACCUCAGCAAACAUACCUCAAUCGGAUUGAGGUCGUUUUUAGCAAAGGCCAGCUUAGGAGUACCCUAAUUAAAGUUAAUAACAAUGUACCUACCUAUAUAGUUUAAGUUUAAAAAAUUUGGCUCUCAAAAGAAAUUUCAAUCGUUGUACUGUUGAUAUUUGGCUCUGUUGACUAACGAGUUUGCCGACCACUGGUGUAUAUUUUUCUUUUUUUUGUAAUGUCUUUGUCUAGUUUUGGAAUAAGGGUAAAACUGGUCUCAUAAAAUGAGCUUGGGAGUCUUCCCUCAAUUUUUUGGAGUAUGAGGAUAGGUAUUCUUUGAAUGUUUGGUAAAAUUCACCUGUGACAUCAUUCAGUCCUGGACUUUUGUUUAUUCGGAGUUUUUUGAUUACUGAUUUGAUUUUAUUAGUAGUUAUUAGUCUGUUCAGAUUUUCUGUUUCUUUUUUACUAAGUUUUGGAAGGCUGUAUAUUUCUAAAAAUAUAUCCAUCUUCCAGCUCAUCUAAUUUAUUGGUAUAUAAUUAUUCAUAGUAUUUUUUAAACAUAUUCUUUUUUUAAAAAUAGGUAAUUUAAAAUUUUAUUUUUUAUAUAUAUUUUUCUUAAUUUCAGAGAAGGGAGAGGGAGAGAGAGAUGGAAACAUCAGUGAUGAGAGAGAAUCAUUGAUCGGCUGCUGCCUCCUGCAAAUUCCCUACUGGGGACUGAGCGCACAACCUGGGCAUGGGCCCUUGACUGAAUUCGAACCCAGGAUCCUUUAGUCUGCAGGGUGAUGCUCUAUCCACUGAGCAAAACUGGCUAGGGCCAUACAUACUCUUUUUUUGAAAUGUUUGUAUUGAUUUUAGAGAGAGAGGAAGGGAGAGAGAGAGAAACAUUGAUAUGAAAGAGAAACAUCAAUUUCUGCAUCCCAUAUACAUCCCUUCUGGGGAUAGAAUUACAACCUGAAUUGAACUGGUGACCUUUUGGUGCAUGGAACUAUGCUCAACCAAGUGAGCCAUACCAGCCAAACUCGUAGUAUUUCUAUAUGUAAAAGGCUAGUACGCUAAGUGUCCUUCCCACUGUCCGGCUGGUCGCCAUGACGUGCACUGACCACCGGGGGGCAGAUGCUCAACACAGGAGCUGCUGUGAUGUGCACAGAGAAACGGCACUGCGGACCUGGCGCUGACAAAGCAUCACUGGGCCUAUCCCAAGUGGGACACAGGCUCUGCCACCACCCCGAGCGACACCCCACCAAUUCGCAGCCAACACUGCCGAGACCCUGUGGUGCAAAAUGCAACCCACAGCCCAGCCCAGAAAUGGUCACUGUGGGCGCCGGGUAAUGACGUCACAUAGCAACGCCCAGCUUCCUCUUCCUAGUGACGACUAGCCUCUUUGUGGUUUCUUCAGCCCGAGAACACAGGUGGAAACAUGUUACACUUUAACCAAGUGUCUGUGAAGCGUUUUCCUGUGCCUCAUCUCAUUUGAUCCUCACAGAAGUCCUGGUUUAGGUAGAUAGGAGGUUCGGUGGAAUCCUAUUUUCUUUUCAUUAUCCGGAAAAUGGAGAUUUAGAAAGCUUAGAAAUUUGAAAAGAAGUCAGAAAUGAUGGACCUUGCCCUAGCCCAGUGGUCAGCAAACUGCGACUCGCGAGCCACAUGCGGCUCUUUGGCCCCUUGAGUGUGGUUCUUCCACAAAAUACCACGUGCGGGUACAUAUGUACAGUGCGAUUGAAACUUCAUGGCCCAUGCAACCAAGGGCACAUGCCCGGGUUGUGGGCUCGAUCCCCAGUGGGGGGCGUGCAGAAGGCAGCUGAUCGAUGAUUCUUUCUCAUCAUUGAUGUUUAUCUCCCUCUCCCUUCCUCUCUGAAGUCAAUAAAGAAAUAUAUUUUAAAAAGAAAAGAAAUGGUGGACCUUGAAAUUACCUGAAAGAGAAGUUGGGGUGCUUCACUGGGCUGGAAAAAGUUUCAAUCAGAAAGCAGGUCUAAUUAAGCAAGUUUAUCCUAUCUAAUAAAAGAGUAAUAUGUAAAUUAACCAUCACUCUGCGACAAAGGUGGCGGCAUGCAUAGCGGCUAGGGCAGGACGCUGCCAGCGUCACCCUGGCAACGUGAGCUCAGCAGGUAUUGCCUUGGCGACUGGCGAGCAGGCAAGCGCCCACAGCAGGCAGCACCCAGUAGGGCCUGCUCGCGGCACCCUGCCCUGGCCGCAGCUCAAGGGAGAGAACAACACGCAGGCGAGGCCAGGAGCCUGAGAGAUCAAUACAGAGGGUGCCUGCUCCAAGCCUCCGCGGUGUGGCUGGGGGCAGGCCCCCAGUGGACGGACACACACACACACACACACACACACACACACACAGCACCUGCUCUGAGCCUCUGCUGCCAGACUGUGGCUGUCAGUAGGACAUCCACUGAGGGCUCCCAGACUGUGAGAGGGAGCAGGCUGGGCUGAGGGACUCCCCAACCCCCAGUGCAUGAAUUUCGUGCACCGGGCCUUUAGUUCUAUAUAUAUAAAAGGCUAAGUUGACUCGUGCAUGCAUGAUAUAUAUGAAGCUCUUGCUGGUGCCAAUUGAAUGCGUGUGUUUCGAUCUGUCAUUGUCGAUCAUGAAUUAGGUUGACACUUCUAUUAUAGAGAGAGAGCGAAUAGUGAUAUUAAAAUAUUUCUAAUUAAUUUCCUUUCAAUGUGCACGAAUUUGUGCACUGGGCCACUAGUUUUCUUAUAAUCUUUUGUAUUCCAGUGAUGUCACUUCUGUUUCAUUUCUGAUUUUAUUUACUUGGAUCCUCUUUUUUUUCUUUAUGAGUCUGGGUAGAGUUUUAUCGAUUUUAUCUUUUUAAAGACCAGGUCUUGGUUUUAUUGAACUUUUGUAUUAUUUUUUUAGACUUUUGUUUAUUUCUAUGCUGAUCUUGACUAUUUCCUUCCUUCUACUCACUUUGGCUUUGUUUGUUUUUGUUCUUCUAGUUCCUUUAGAUGUAAGUUUGUUUAUUUCAGAUUUUUCUUGAGGUAGGCCUGUGUUGCUAAGAAGUUCCCUCUUAGAACUGCUUUUGCUUUGUCUCACAGAUUUGGGGUCAUUGUAUUUUCAUUUUAUUGUUUCAAGGUAUCAUUUGAUUUCUUCUUUGAUUUCGUUGUUAACCCAUUCAUUGUUUCAUAGUGUGUCAUUUAGCCUCCAUGUAUUUGUGAGUUUUUCAGUUUCCUUCAUGUACUUGAUUUCUAAUUUCAUACUAUUGUAAUUAGAGACAAUACUUGAUAUGAUUUCAUUCUUAAAUUUAUUAAAACUUGUUUUGUGGCUAUUUGAGGCCUUUUUUGGUUCCGUAUAAAUUGUUGGAGUAUUUGUUCUAGAUUUGUGAAAUAUGCCCUUGGUAUUUUAAAAGGGAUUGCAUUGAUUCUGUAGAUUGCCUUGGGUAGUGUGGAUAUUUUAAUGAUGUUGAUUCUACCAAUCCAUGAACAUGGUAUAUCCUUCCACUUAUUUAUAUCUUC